rnacentral:rRNA from 1 species
UACGGGGGGAGCAAGCGUUGUUCGGAUUUACUGGGCGUAAAGGGCGCGUAGGCGGCGCAACAAGUCAAUUGUGAAAUCUCCGGGCUUAACUCGGAGCGGCCAAGUGAUACUGUCGUGCUAGAGUGCGGAAGGGGCAACUGGAAUUCUCGGUGUAGCGGUGAAAUGCGUAGAUAUCGAGAGGAACACCUGCGGCGAAGGCGGGUUGCUGGGCCGACACUGACGCUGAGGCGCGAAAGCGUGGGGAGCGAACGGG